AUCUUCUCUCUUGCUAGUAUGUACUCAGCAAUGCUCCUGACUGGAUGGACCACCUCUGUUGGCGGAAGCGGCAGAUUAGUUGAUGUUGGUUGGGCAUCCGUUUGGGUUCGGGUUGUGACUGGUUGGGCUACUGCAGCAUUGUUCAUCUGGUCUUUAAUUGCCCCCGUUCUGUUCCCAGACCGGGAGUUCUGAGUGCUUAUUCGUCAAACUCUGAGUGUGUCUGAACUCUUAAGUAGAUUUUAUGGCA
rnacentral:misc_RNA from 1 species